rnacentral:rRNA from 1 species
GGGGGGGGGGGGGGGGGGGGGGGGGGGGGGCGGGGCGAGCGAGGAGACGGGGAGGGGGCUCCUCUGGCGUUAGCGGCGGACGGGUGGGUAACACGUGGGGAACCGACCUAUAAGACUGGGAUAACUGCGGGGAACGGGGGCUAAUCCCGGCUAAUAUAUUGAACCGCAUGGUUCAAUAGUGAAAGACGGUUUUGCGGUCACUUAUAGAUGGAUCCGCGCCGCAUUAGCUAGUUGGUAAGGUAACGGCUUACCAAGGCAACGAUGCGUAGCCGACCUGAGAGGGUGAUCGGCCACACUGGAACUGAGACACGGUCCAGACUCCUACGGGAGGCAGCAGUAGGGAAUCUUCCGCAAUGGGCGAAAGCUUGACGGAGCAACGCCGCGUGAGUGAUGAAGGUCUUCGGAUCGUAAAACUCUGUUAUUAGGGAAGAACAAAUGUGUAAGUAACUAUGCACGUCUUGACGGUACCUAAUCAGAAAGCCACGGCUAACUACGUG